CGGACGAAAAAUCAAAACUUUACAGUAUGCGUUGGAAUUUUCGAAUGUUUUUAUUUUAGAAAACUAAAGAUGUAGCGGUCCAGAAGUAAUAGGAAUAUGUUACGUUGCUGUGUUGCUUUUGGUUGUGUCAUUUAACGGUUAAUUGUCGAGCGAAUAGCUAAAAAUAAAGUGAUAUUUGUUGACCAUUUUUGUGGGAGAACCGCGGUUUUCAAAUUUGGGUA